AGCAACAGAGAUGGACCGACUGCUUUGGUUUUAUUUCCUACUCAUCUACCUGCCUGUAACAGAGAGCAUGGACAAGACAGUUUGCUUAUCACAGCCAAAAGUGGUUUGGAGGAAAACAGAACAAUCUGCUGUUCUCUCUUGUACUGUCCACUCAAACUGUUCAGACACAGGGCUACAGUAUAGAUGGUUUGUUUUCCGAAAGGACACACACUCUGAAGUCCAUGACAGUCCUCCUAAGUGCGUUCUGAAUGGACCGACUUUACACAUCAAUUCACUUGAUGUAACAGACAGUGGGAUCUACCACUGUGCUGCAGUAUCACUAGACAGAGAGCCUGAAGCUGGUAGACAGCACAUCGGCCUGGGUACGACUCUGGUAGUAAGAGAGAAGACAAAGGUGAGGCACAUUCUCCUGUGGCUAUCUUUUAUACUCAUGGCUAUUUACAGCUUGGUGAUACUGGCGCUCGUCAUUCUGAAGAAGUAUGGCUACCAUCGCACCUGCAUAAAGAUGAACAAAACCUCAAAUGUUAAAACCUCAAGUAAAAGAAUGCAAUUCCGUGAUGUGCUGCAAGAAUUAUACAGCAGAAGAAACUCAGAAAGAAACAAACAAUCAGCAAGGAGAAACAGACCUCAGACUGACGAGGCUGCAAGUCCCAAGUUCAACGGCUCCAUUGAUGACAUCUAUCAAAAUGUCUAA
rnacentral:lncRNA from 1 species